UGUCGGACGUUACCAAACUGUUGCCUCGGCGGGGUCACGCCCCGGGUGCGUCGCAGCCCCGGAACCAGGCGCCCGCCGGAGGAACCAACCAAACUCUUUCUGUAGUCCCCUCGCGGACGUAUUUCUUACAGCUCUGAGCAAAAAUUCAAAAUGAAUCAAAACUUUCAACAACGGAUCUCUUGGUUCUGGCAUCGAUGAAGAACGCAGCGAAAUGCGAUAAGUAAUGUGAAUUGCAGAAUUCAGUGAAUCAUCGAAUCUUUGAACGCACAUUGCGCCCGCCAGUAUUCUGGCGGGCAUGCCUGUCCGAGCGUCAUUUCAACCCUCGAACCCCUCCGGGGGAUCGGCGUUGGGGAUCGGGACCCCUCACACGGGUGCCGGCCCCGAAAUACAGUGGCGGUCUCGCCGCAGCCUCUCCUGCGCAGUAGUUUGCACAACUCGCACCGGGAGCGCGGCGCGUCCACGUCCGUAAAACACCCAACUUUCUGAAAUGUUGACCUCGGAUCAGGUAGGAAUACCCGCUGAACUUAAGCAUAUCUA
rnacentral:rRNA from 1 species